rnacentral:rRNA from 1 species
UACAGAGGGUGCAAGCGUUAAUCGGAAUUACUGGGCGUAAAGCGUGCGUAGACGGUUACAUAAGUCGGGUGUGAAAGCCCCGGGCUCAACCUGGGAAUUGCAUUCGAAACUGCGUAGCUAGGGUGCGGAAGAGGGAAGCGGAAUUUCCGGUGUAGCGGUGAAAUGCGUAGAUAUCGGAAGGAACACCAGUGGCGAAAGCGGCUUCCUGGUCCAGCACCGACGUCAGGCACGAAAGCGUGGGGAGCAAACAGG